GGGACCAGCUUAGAAGUCUUUUUAACAUUCACUGUGUCAACUCAGCACCAAGCUGGCUUCCCCUGGUUGCUCAUAGGCAGGUGGCCGUCCACACCCACUUCUGUGUGGGGGCCUCUGGUGUCACACUUCACACUCCUGUUUUGUAGGCAUCAGGUUUCAGAUUUGCUGUUUGCUUCCGCUGCCACUACCGGUAGAUCAGAGGCUGGGGAGGUGUUUCAACACAUGACUGUUUUGAACAUGGUGACUUCCCCAUCUGUCCCUGCCAUGCCAUGGGUAGCAUCCCAGCAGCCUCUCGACAGCAGAACAGAGGCCACUGAGCCUGGCCAAUGACCUUGCUGCUGGGGCUACCUUUCACCUACAUGUAGGCUUACUCGCCUCCACCCCCAGCACGGCCCAAGAACCAAUUCUCUGAGUUCAGCCAGGACUUCCAAGAACCUAGCACAGCCAGUCCCUUCUCCCACAGAGUACUGUGAACAUCCCCAAGACAGAAAUGAUGUGUUGCUCACCACAGCCUGGGCCCUGCAGCUGGCCUGUCACAGGGCUGGCGACGACCGAAUGAAAGGAAAUGUCUAAUGUUUUCUGAGCACUUGCUACAUGCCGGGCACAGAGCCAGGGAUGCCCGCAUGGAGAGGGCCUGCCUCACAGUGAAGACAGUAGGGAGGAAAGCAGAGGUUCGGAUUUUCUGUCACCUGCAACUAAGAGAGCCCUCACUGACCGACUGAAGCUCAGAGAUGGCACCCAACACACCCCAGGUCACAUUAGCUACGAAAGCAGCAGAACAGAAACUCCCACCAAAGUCUGGGCUUUUUUUGUUUUGUUUUGUUUGUUUGUUUUUUUGAGAUAGUCUUGCUCUGUCUCCAAGGCUGGAGUGCAGUGGCAUGACCUAGGCUCACUGCAACCUCCGCCUCCCAGGUUCAAGCAAUUCUCCGCCUCAGCCCCUCCAGUAGCUGGGAUUACAGGCGCCUGCCACCACGCCUGGCUAAUUUUUGUAUUUUUAGUAGAGACGGGGUUUCACCAUGUUGGCCAGGCCAGUCUCGAUCUCCUGACCUCAAGUGAUCUGCCUGCCCUGGCUUCCCAAGGUCUGGGCUGUUAACCACAGCCUGACCACACCCCAGGCCCAGCUAAUAACCACUGAUAACCACUCGAUGCUCCCAUACACGGAGUACAGUCCAGAUAUCCACUCUGCCGGCGGGGUCCUCUCACCUCUUUCCCAGAAGCCACUGGAGUUACACUGGUUGGGAUUUCUGGGCAUUGGUUUGCAAGUCCCUCAGAUGGGGCUAAUGAGCUCACCCUUGCAAGCAGGUCAGAGGACAGCUCACACUGGCCUGGCCCACAAGGGACUCAGGGAGUGAAGGCCACAGUGUGGACCCUCCAACCUUCCCUCAGCUGCCUGAUGGCCUGCAGGUGUUUUCUAAUAGCUGACAUGUGUCCAUUAAAAUAAAAUACAACCAGCCGGCCGCGGUGGCUCACGCCUGUAAUCCCAGCAUUUUGGGAGGCCGAGGUGGGUGGAUCAUGAG